rnacentral:rRNA from 1 species
CCUGGCGGCGAUAGUGCGGUGGAACCACCUGACACCAUACCGAACUCAGAAGUGAAACGCUGUAACUGUCUCUUAUACACAUCUCCGAGCCAUGUGAGAGUAGGGCACCGCCAGGU